rnacentral:rRNA from 1 species
GCCAGCAGCCAUAUCACCCUGCAACUCACAACUGACAACCCACUGUAGCUAAGCAGAUGUGAGCCUGGUCAGUACCUGGAAGGGAGACCUCCUGGGAAAGGUUGCUGCUGGAA